UAGGGAAUCUUCGGCAAUGGACGAAAGUCUGACCGAGCAACGCCGCGUGAGUGAAGAAGGUUUUCGGAUCGUAAAACUCUGUUGCUAGAGAAGAACAAGGACGUUAGUAACUGAACGUCCCCUGACGGUAUCUAACCAGAAAGCCACGGCUAACUACGUGCCAGCAGCCGCGGUAAUACGACGGUGGCAAGCGUUGUCCGGAAUUAUUGGGCGUAAAGCGAGCGCAGGCGGUUUCUUAAGUCUGAUGUGAAAGCCCCCGGCUCAACCGGGGAGGGUCAUUUGAAACUGGGAGGCUUGAGUGCAGAAGAGGAGAGUGGAAUUCCAUGUGUAGCGGUGAAAUGCGUAGAUAUAUGGAGGAACACCAGUGGCGAAGGCGGCUCUCUGGUCUGUAACUGACGCUGAGGCUCGAAAGCGUGGGGAGCAAACAGG
rnacentral:rRNA from 1 species